UGGGUUGCCUCGUUGCGGCAUACCUUGCAAGAAAGUUCUAACAAUAUCGCGGCCCGGCCAGAACUUCGACGCUGCGAAGGGAAAAGGCCGAGUUUACCGCGGAGUUUCGUGCCUCCCGAACUUCCCCGGGAUCGGAAUACUCCGGAGCCCGUUCGAAGUUCGAGAAUUUUCGUAGAAUACUCGACGCCAGACGGAUUACAAUAAAUUCUCAGCUCGAUGCUGAUAGAUGUAUAGCUGUUCCACACUGUGAUUUCGCAAAUACAUCAAGAUUUCGUGGGUAUUUCCACUCCGCUCGUAGCUCUGCUAAAAUUAAUUUAAUUGGAUACAAUAGAAGAUAGAGCACUCGACGCAAUGCGCAUCGAAGUAUUCAUCGUGCAAGCGGAAAAAAUCACGGUAAAAAUUCUAGAAGUUAACUACAUAAAAUGUAAUGAAACAUUACGUAAAAAAACGAGAUACCUUUGUAAAGAGAAUUUCGUUUCUUUCGGUUGUGCAAUGAUUCUGCACUCUUUAAAAUCUAGGAUAAAUUUCACUAGCACCAAAUUGAAUCGAGAAUCAAAGGAAGAAAUGAAAUUAAUACAACCGUUUCACCCACAAAAAUGACCCGCCGUUAAUUAGAAGCAAAGGAAUGCAAAUGUAAUUGGAGUACCGAAAUGUUCCAAUUAAGGCUUUUAAACAUCUCGAUGGAACUAUAUCAAUCGAUAGCAUAAAAUGCUUCGAUUCGAUGAUUAUUACAGGGACACCGGAACCAUUGUUGCCGCGCGACGAACCAAUCAAUGCUGUUAUUUAACUUACAUCAGCAUUUGAGAGUUUCAAUUAGCCGACCGAUCUAUUCAAUGACGUUUGAUUUCCACUCAUUUGAUGUUCAGCACGUGAUCGAUUCCUGUGGUUGCAUGCGACUCUGGAAUAACACAUUUGUCGCCGAGGCAAGCGUAUAUAAUAACAAAUCAGAAAGCGCAUCAUGUAAAACUUGACUCGACAUUUUAGAACAUUCCAUAAUAGUGAUUAUUUUGUGACAAUAACUAGUAAA